AUGGAAAACUGUGGCCGACAGGAUUACCCACAAUACCUGCUGCUGCUGUCUGAGCCUCUAAUUAGUGACGUCAGUCUGUGGGUGGGUGUGAUUAAAGGGCAGAACAAGAACAGGAAGGAUGGUUUGAAACCGAGGAAAACAAGAAUGGAAUGGUGCGUGGUCAUCAGCCGUGAGCUCGGUUUCAGGUGAGCGGUGCUGAGCUGGGACAGCUGCAGCUGAUUUCCAAUCCACAAGGAUGACCUAAAUAAGGAGCAGGC
rnacentral:lncRNA from 1 species